rnacentral:rRNA from 1 species
UGAAUACGAGACGCUAAGGCGUCGAAGUAGUGUAUGUCAUACUUCCAAGAAAAGCUUGCACUGUCAUAGAUAAAAAACGCCUGUACCAUAACCGACACAGGUGGGUAGGUAGAGUAUACUAAGGGGCGCGAGAUAACUCUCUCUAAGGAACUCGGCAAAAUAACUCCGUAACUUCGGGAGAAGGAGUGCCUUAUUCGUAAGGUUGCAAUAACAAGAUCCAAGCAACUGUUUAUCAAAAACACAGGUCUCCGCUAAGUCGUAAGACGAUGUAUGGGGGCUGACGCCUGCCCAGUGCCAGAAGGUUAAAGAAGUUGGUUAGCAAUUGCGAAGCUGGUAACUGAAGCCCUGGUGAACGGCGGCCGUAACAAUAACGGCCCUAAGGUAGCGAAAUUCCUUGUCGGGUAAGUUCCGACCCGCACGAAAGGCGUAAUGAUUUGGAUACUGUCUCGGAGAGGGGCUCGGUGAAAUAGACUUGUCUGUGAAGAUGCGGACUACCUGCACCAGGACAGAAAGACCCUAUGAAGCUUUACUGUAACUUGAAAUUGAAAUUGGACUUUAUUCGCGCAGUAUAGGUGGGAGGCGUUGAUUAUAAUCUUGUGGGAUUAUUGGAGCCAUCAGUGAGAUACCACUCUUGUAAUGUUAGAUUUCUAACUUUGAAUCAUUAUCUGGUCAAAGAACAGUUUCAGGCGGGCAGUUUGACUGGGGCGGUCGCCUCCUAAACGGUAACGGAGGCGUACAAAGGUUUCCUCUGAACGGUUAGAAAUCGUAUCUAGAGUGUAAAGGCAUAAGGAAGCUUGACUGUGAGACCUACAAGUCGAGCAGGGACGAAAGUCGGUCUUAGUGAUCUGACGGUACUGAGUGGAAAGGCCGUCACUCAACGGAUAAAAGUUACUCUAGGAUAACAGGCUGAUCUCCCCCAAGAGUUCACAUCGACGGGGAGGUUUGGCACCUCGAUGUCGGCUCAUCGCAUCCUGGGGCGGUAGUACGUCCUAAGGGUUGGGCUGUUCGCCCAUGAAAGCGGUACGCGAGCUGGGUUCAGAACGUCGUGAGACAGUUCGGUCCACAUCCGGUGUAGGCGUUAGAAUAUUGAGAGGAGCCUUCUUUAGUACGAGAGGACCGAGAAGGACAUACCUCUGGUGUACCAGUUAUCGUGCCAACGGUAAACGCUGGGUAGCUAUGUAUGGAGUGGGUAACCGCUGAAAGCAUCUAAGUGGGAAGCCCACCUCAAGAUAAG